CGCCUGUUUAUCAAAAACAUGAUCUGAGUUCAGACCGGUCGCCUGUUUAUCAAAAACAUCGCCUCUUGUAAACCACAGAUAAGAGGUCCCGCCUGCCCUGUGACUAUGGGUUCAACGGCCGCGGUAUUUUGACCGUGCAAAGGUAGCGCAAUCACUUGUCCUUUAAAUGAGGACCUGUAUGAAAGGCAUCACGAGGGCUUAGCUGUCUCCUUUUUCAAGUCAAUGAAAUUGAUCUCCCCGUGCAGAAGCGGGGAUUAGAACAUAAGACGAGAAGACCCUAUGGAGCUUUAGACACAAGACAGAUCAUGUUAAGCACCUCAGAUAAAAGAGCAAACUAAGUGGAACCUGUCUUAAUGUCUUUGGUUGGGGCGACCGCGGGGCAACAAAAAGCCCCCAUGAGGAAUAAAAGUAUUCUUUCAAAAACAAGAGCCACAGCUCUAAUGAGCAGAACAUCUGACCUACCAGAUCCGGCAUAGCCGAUCAACGAACCGAGUUACCCUAGGGAUAACAGCGCAAUCCCCUUUUAGAGCCCCUAUCGACAAGGGGGUUUACGACCUCGAUGUUGGAUCAGGACAUCCUAAUGGUGCAACCGCUAUUAAGGGUUCGUUUGUUCAACGAUUAAAGUCCUACAUGAUCUGAGUUCAGACCGG
rnacentral:rRNA from 1 species